UGGCCAGGCUGUCUCCACCCGAGACUCAGUGAAAUUGAACUCGCUGUGAAGAUGCAGUGUACCCGCGGCAAGACGGAAAGACCCCGUGAACCUUUACUAUAGCUUGACACUGAACAUUGAGCCUUGAUGUGUAGGAUAGGUGGGAGGCUUUGAAGUGUGGACGCCAGUCUGCAUGGAGCCGACCUUGAAAUACCACCCUUUAAUGUUUGAUGUUCUAACGUGGACCCGUAAUCCGGGUUGCGGACAGUGUCUGGUGGGUAGUUUGACUGGGGCGGUCUCCUCCUAAAGAGUAACGGAGGAGCACGAAGGUUGGCUAAUCCUGGUCGGACAUCAGGAGGUUAGUGCAAUGGCAUAAGCCAGCUUGACUGCGAGCGUGACGGCGCGAGCAGGUGCGAAAGCAGGUCAUAGUGAUCCGGUGGUUCUGAAUGGAAGGGCCAUCGCUCAACGGAUAAAAGGUACUCCGGGGAUAACAGGCUGAUACCGCCCAAGAGUUCAUAUCGACGGCGGUGUUUGGCACCUCGAUGUCGGCUCAUCACAUCCUGGGGCUGAAGUAGGUCCCAAGGGUAUGGCUGUUCGCCAUUUAAAGUGGUACGCGAGCUGGGUUUAGAACGUCGUGAGACAGUUCGGUCCCUAUCUGCCGUGGGCGCUGGAGAACUGAGGGGGGCUGCUCCUAGUACGAGAGGACCGGAGUGGACGCAUCACUGGUGUUCGGGUUGUCAUGCCAAUGGCACUGCCCGGUAGCUAAAUGCGGAAGAGAUAAGUGCUGAAAGCAUCUAAGCACGAAACUUGCCCCGA
rnacentral:rRNA from 1 species